CCCAAUGAAGAUUGCGUGCUUGACUACAAAAUCAGAUUUGGAUUCUACUUAGUGGCAGACGGGUGAGGUAACACGUGGGUAACCUACCUCGGAGACUGGGAUAACAGUUAGAAAUGAUUGCUAAUACCGGAUAAUUCAUAGUUAGAUAACUAGCUAUGCUAAAAGGAGCGUUUGCUCCACUUCAAGAUGGGCUUGCGUUGUAUUAGGUUAGUUGGUGGGGUAAUCGGCCUACCAAGACAACGAUGCAUAUCCGAGCUGAGAGGCUGAUCGGACACACUGGGACUGAGACACGGCCCAGACUCCUACGGGAGACAGCAGUUAGGAAUAUUCGUCAAUGGGGGAAACCCUGAACGAGCAAUGCCGCGUGAGUGAAUGAAGGUCUUAUAGAUUGUAAAACUCUGUUGUAGAGAAAGAAACCUUAAGAUAGGAAAUGAUCUUAAGCUGACGGUACUCUACCAGAAAGCCCCGGCUAACUACGUGCCAGCCGCCGC
rnacentral:rRNA from 1 species